AACAAACGCUGGCGGCGUGCCUAACACAUGCAAGUCGUACGAGAAAGUCGGCUUCGGCCGAUGAGUACAGUGGCGCACGGGUGAGUAGCGCGUGGGUAAUCUGCCCCCCGGUCAGGAAUAACCCGCCGAAAGGCGGGCUAAUACCCGAUAACACUGACGCUCCGCGGAGCGUCUUUCAAAGAAGGCCUCUGUUUACAAGCUUUCGCCGGAGGAUGAGCCCGCGUACCAUUAGCUAGUUGGCAGGGUAAUGGCCUACCAAGGCUACGAUGGUUAGCUGGUCUGAGAGGAUGGCCAGCCACACUGGAACUGAGACACGGUCCAGACUCCUACGGGAGGCAGCAGUGAGGAAUCUUGCGCAAUGGGGGAAACCCUGACGCAGCAACGCCGCGUGAGUGAGGAAGGCCUUCGGGUCGGUAAAGCUCUGUCAGAUGGGAAGAAAUGGAUGGGGGCGUAAUAUCGCCCAUCCUUGACGGUACCAUCAGAGGAAGCACCGGCUAACUCCG
rnacentral:rRNA from 1 species